AUUGAACGCUGGCGGCAUGCUUUACACAUGCAAGUCGAACGGUAACAGGCCGCAAGGUGCUGACGAGUGGCGAACGGGUGAGUAAUGCAUCGGAACGUGCCCAGUCGUGGGGGAUAACUACUCGAAAGAGUAGCUAAUACCGCAUACGAUCUAUGGAUGAAAGCGGGGGACCGUAAGGCCUCGCGCGAUUGGAGCGGCCGCUGUCAGAUUAGGUAGUUGGUGGGGUAAAGGCUCACCAAGCCAACGAUCUGUAGCUGGUCUGAGAGGACGACCAGCCACACUGGGAUUGAGACACGGCCCAGACUCCUACGGGAGGCAGCAGUGGGGAAUUUUGGACAAUGGGCGCAAGCCUGAUCCAGCAAUGCCGCGUGCAGGAAGAAGGCCUUCGGGUUGUAAACUGCUUUUGUACGGAACGAAACGGCUCUGGUUAAUACCCGGGGCUAAUGACGGUACCGUAAGAAUAAGCACCGGCUAACUACGUG
rnacentral:rRNA from 1 species